rnacentral:rRNA from 1 species
ACUCCUACGGGAGGCAGCAGUGGGGAAUAUUGCACAAUGGGCGCAAGCCUGAUGCAGCCAUGCCGCGUGUAUGAAGAAGGCCUUCGGGUUGUAAAGUACUUUCAGCAGUGAGGAAGGUGGGUAUGUUAAUAGCAUACUCAUUUGACGUUUAGCUGCAGAAGAAGCACCGGCUAACUCCGUGCCAGCAGCCGCGGUAAUACGGAGGGUGCGAGCGUUAAUCGGAAUUACUGGGCGUAAAGCGCAUGCAGGUGGUUUGUUAAGUCAGAUGUGAAAGCCCGGGGCUCAACCUCGGAAUUGCAUUUGAAACUGGCAAACUAGAGUACUGUAGAGGGGGUAGAAUUUCAGGUGUAGCGGUGAAAUGCGUAGAGAUCUGAAGGAAUACCGGUGGCGAAGGUGGCCCCCUGGACAGAUACUGACACUCAGAUGCGAAAGCGUGGGGAGCAAACAGGAUUAGAUACCCUGGUA